CAAGAACUGUCCUUGAAAUGAGUAAUUCGCUGUGACUUUGUUUCAGUCUGAUAAUUAUUCACUGCAUUUGCUCAAAAGGAAAAUCAUCGUGAUUUUGGCUGAACAAACCAAGAAAAACCCACUAGCAUAUCAAUUAACAAAUUGUAUAAGAGCAUUGCAAUUACUUCGUUUAAUUGAAGUCCCUAUUUCUUAAUAGUGCCAGGCUGAUUUAAUGGCCUGGGACACACAGGAACAAAUAAAAUGCACUGGUCAAAUGAAUGGAAAUCCCCUUCCUUCAGCCACUUACAGGAUGAGAACACCAGGAGAAGCAUCUAUAAAUCUCAGCUUGGCUCACCAGGAAGAUGGUCGGAGGCAUGGAGAAUCCAGCUGAAGGCAGGUUGUAACUAGUGAAAAUGAGCAAUGAAGAGCUGCAGAGUCACUAAGCCCUUGAUGGUGAAAGAGCACGUGCAGCUGUGGGUGCGUGUGCACAGCUAAUUGCAAACCAUGACGGUGGGGGGCACAUGCAGUUUAAUACAGCUGCAGGCUCACAGCCUGACCUUCACAAAGGAUACAUAAAAAUGUCUCCCUUUAUCAACCUCAGUCCCUGAUUUCAGCUCUGGCACCCCUGAGGCACUGCCCUGGGUGUGAGAGAUGUCUCUGUCCUGCAGCGGGGCCGGGGUGACACCGCACGCCAUCAGCUGCUGCCAGCCCCUUUAAUCUCUCCCAGCGAAGAGAUAAACCGAGAGCAGGACAAGCCGUGGAGGAGGGCGAGGGGAAAGGAUGCUGGGGCCGCUGCAGCCAGAAAAACUUGUGGAGCAGGAAGUAUUGAAUAGAGUGUGCAUGAGGAGCUCAAGACGACAAAAUCAGAUUAAAAUAGGAAAAGGCAUCUCUGCCUGCUCUGUGAAUCUCUUUGGUGCCAGAGAAGAGAGAGAUGGCAGGCUGCGAGGAGAACGAGAUGGACGGCUGGAGCAAAUAGCAUCUAAUGAACCAUGCUGGAAACACUGUCAAAAGCAAAGAGCUGGAUCUGCAGGUCUGCAAGAGCAGAGGAGUGCUGGCUGCUUGCUUUUUGCACACAGAGAGCACCCUCUGCUUCCAGUUGCACAGGGCAUAGCCUACUUUCCUGCUGCUGCAAAGGAUGAAUGGAGCCACACCAGAACGUGCCGUCCCCAGCCAUCGGGCUCUGCAUCCCCCAUCUUAGGCAAUGCUCACCGCGCUGGCCUGAGCCCUGACAUUAGAAGCCAGAUCCAGCCCCACUCCUCCCUUCUCCUCUCUGUGCAGGCUGAAGUGAAAAGAGAGGGAGCAAGCAAGCUGCUCUUUUACAGGAAUCUAAUUUGGGAAUGGUGCAAGCUGGGAUUAAGCCCCUCUUUUUAACCAUUUCUGAGCUGUGACUGGGCUGAUACAGGCACAAGAAUGCUAUGAGAUUCUUGCUGAUGCUUAAAGGUUAAACGCUUGUCGGUCAUUUUCAAGGUAUGGAAGAUGAAAGUAAGCUUUGUGCUGCAAGAGAAACAGAGGGCAUCCAUACCUGGGCAUAUUUUAAUGAUAUAUAUUUUAUAUAAAUCAUAUAUAUAUGCGCACACACAUACUUAGGGUGCAGAGAAGGUGCACCUUUUAAACAUCUCCAGAGCAGAAGGAGCAUGGAUUCAUGAACCAUUGGUGGCUCUCAGUACACAGCUGCUUCUGCAAAGGUUUGAGCCAGAAGGCAAAGGCGAUCUUCGGUGCCCUUUCAAGAGAGCCUAGGAUGUGGCAAUACCAGAUUGCACCAAAGACACAAGGUGAGGUUUGUUAAUAUGUGGACUGGAGAAAUCCAAAAGGAUGUCAGGGAGGGUAGUGCCAGUGGUGUGAGCUCUUUUCUGUAUGUCAGCAGUAAACUGCACAUUCGGGGUGUAGAGCACAUGCACUACAGUGCCAGGUGGCCUCCAGCUGUCCCUCUGCCUAGCUUUGUGCCCGUCUUUCUCAAUCACCUCCCACUUGGAACCCUGGCUCAUCCUGCAGGAAGGGCUCCGGAUGCCCAGAGAGCGUGGGCUGCUCUCUGGGGAAGCACUCGCUCCAUCAUUACAGAAAUAUGUGAAAGGAGGCAGCGUUUUCAGAGGCUCCUCAAAAUGUCACUGUCUCUUCCUUGGCAUGGCUCUGUGACCUAUCUAAUAUAAAAUAUUAUUUGUGAAACUUCCUUUUAAUUGCUGUUUAAUGGCUCCUAAUAUAUUUCAAAUAGGCAUCUGCAAGUUCAUUUUGACAUUUAUUAGAAGCCAUUAGAUACCAAUUUAAUGGUGAUUUUAUGACAAAUGUCUGACAUCAUUAAAAAUGUGAUGGUUGAUAAAUUAUAAUGUGAUGUGCUUUUGAGUGUCAGGAAAUUAGACUGUUUCCAAAUGUGACUGUUUUUGAUGUUGUAAAUUAAAUUUUAUUUCCAAUUGAUUUA